rnacentral:rRNA from 1 species
ACGGAGGUUCCUAGCGUUGUUCGGAUUUACUGGGCGUAAAGGGAGCGCAGGCGGAUAGGUCAGUGAAAAGUGGAAUUCCGGGGCUCAACCUCGGACGUGCUUUUCAUACUGCCUGUCUUGAGUUCGUGAGAGGAAGGCGGAAUUCAGGGUGUAGCGGUGAAAUGCUUAGAUAUCCUGAGGAACACCGGUGGCGAAAGCGGUCUUCUGGCACGAUACUGACGCUGAGGCUCGAAAGCGUGGGGAGCGAACGG